rnacentral:rRNA from 1 species
ACGAACGCUGGCGGCGUGCUUAACACAUGCAAGUCGCACGGAAAGGCCCUGCUUUUGUGGGGUGCUCGCGUGGCGAACGGGUGAGUAACACGUGAGUAACCUGCCCUUGACUUUGGGAUAACUUCAGGAAACUGGGGCUAAUACCGGAUAUGAGCUCCUGCUGCAUGGUGGGGGUUGGAAAGUUUCGGCGGUUGGGGAUGGACUCGCGGCUUAUCAGCUUGUUGGUGGGGUAGUGGCUUACCAAGGCUUUGACGGGUAGCCGGCCUGAGAGGGUGACCGGCCACAUUGGGACUGAGAUACGGCCCAGACUCCUACGGGAGGCAGCAGUGGGGAAUAUUGCACAAUGGGCGGAAGCCUGAUGCAGCAACGCCGCGUGCGGGAUGACGGCCUUCGGGUUGCAAACCGCUUUCGCCUGUGACGAAGCGUGAGUGACGGUAAUGGGUAAAGAAGCACCGGCUAACUACGUG